rnacentral:rRNA from 1 species
GACGAACCGUCCAAACGUUAUUCGGUAUCACUGGGCUUAAAGGGUGCGUAGGCGGUCUGGUAAGUUGGGUGUGAAAUCCCUCGGCUCAACCGAGGAACUGCGCCCAAUACUGCUAGACUUGAGGGAGGCAGAGGUAAGCGGAACUUGCGGUGGAGCGGUGAAAUGCAUUGAUAUCGCAGGGAACACCAGUGGCGAAGGCGGCUUACUGGGCCUUUUCUGACGCUGAGGCUCGAAAGCUAGGGGAGCGAACGGG